GUGCAGCAGGCGAGAAAACUUUGCAAUGUGCGAAAGCACGACAAGGUUAAUCCGAGUGAUUUGUGCUAAACGAAUCUUUUGUUAGUCCUAGAACCACUAACGAAUAAGGGGUGGGCAAGUUCUGGUGUCAGCCGCCGCGGUAAAACCAGCACCUCAAGUGGUCAGGAUGAUUAUUGGGCCUAAAGCAUCCGUAGCCGGCUCUGUAAGUUUUCGGUUAAAUCUGUACGCUUAACGUACAGGCUGCCGGGAAUACUGCAGAGCUAGGGAGUGGGAGAGGUAGACGGUACUCGGUAGGAAGGGGUAAAAUCCUUUGAUCUAUUGAUGACCACCUGUGGCGAAGGCGGUCUACCAGAACACGUCCGACGGUGAGGGAUGAAAGCUGGGGGAGCAAACCGGAUUAGAUACCCCCGUAGUCC
rnacentral:rRNA from 1 species